GAGGAUAAAGAGGGAAGAAUAGAUGAAAGAAUUAAUAUAUUUGUAAUUAUUUGUUUGAAUAUAAAAUAUGACAAUAGAAGUAUAGAGAAAGAAAUCUUGAUUUGGGUUUAAUAGAGGAUGUUUAAUACCUUUUGUAUUAGGGUUAAUUGAUGAGAUGAUCUUUGAUAGAAUUUCUCGAAGGGUGAUGAGCUAAGGUUUUUAAGAGGGUAUGUUGAAGAAUAUUUAUAAGAGGGAAUUUUAGUGGUGAUAUACUAUUCAAAUCACUUUAUUAUCUAGUUAUUCAAUAAAUUUAAUUUGGGGUAUUAGUAUUUGACCGAUUAGUAAGGACUAGCUUAUUGAUUUUGUAUAUUUGUUUAGGUGUAAUAGGUAGAGGAGUUCGGUUGAGUUAGAAGUGCUUGUGGAAAUAAAGUUAUUAUUAUUUAUUCUAAGCGAAAGAUUUUAUAAUAAAAUAUUAAUUUAUUGAAUAAAAAUAGAUAAUAAUGGCUAUUUUAUAUAGUGAUUAUAUAAGUAAAAAAUGUUUAUUGUUGAAGUUGGUGGUUAGUAGUAAUAGUAAUAAAGUAUAUGAGUGGGCUAGUUGACUUGAGUAGAUGAAUUCGACAAUAAUUUCUGUGACUGUUUAGCAAAAACAUUGUUUAUCGGUAAGAAGAUAAAUAAUUUCUGCCGACUGCGGGUAGGUAAAGGGCUGCAGUAUUUUGACUGUAUAAAGGUAGCAUAAUCAUUAGUUUUUUAAUUUGGGACUGGUAUGAAGAGAGAACAUAGGAAUGGUGUAUUGUGAUAGGAGUGUUGAAUUUGAUUGUUUUGUGAAAAAUCAAAGAUUAACUAAAGGGACAAGAAGACCCUAUAAAAUUUUAUUAUUGGGGUAACACGUUUAUAGGGAAAUUUAUACAACUUAUGAAUAGUAGUUUAAUUGGGGCGAUAGAUAAAUAACAUUAUUUUUGAUUUAAUUUGUGAGGCGACAGAGAGACCUAAUUUGGUUAGAUGAAAGGAGAAUUACUUUAGGGAUAACAGCGUUAUCAUUUUAUAGAGUUCAUAUCGACAAAAUGGAUUGCGACCUCGAUGUUGGAUUAAGGUAAACGGUGGUGAAGUAGUCGUCAUUUUUGGUCUGUUCGACCAAUAGAAUCUUACAUGAUCUGAGUUCAAACCGGCGUGAGCCAGGUUGGUUUCUAUCUUUUGGGUGAAGUGUUGUGGCAUUAGUACGAAAGGACCAUGUUGUUAAAAGUAUUUUGG
rnacentral:rRNA from 1 species